GAUGAACGCUGGCGGCGUGCCUAACACAUGCAAGUCGAGCGAAGCGGGGACGGGUGAGUAACACGUGGAUAACAUCCUAUAAGACUGGGGUAACUUAGGGAAAUCGGAGCCAAACCGGCAACUUAUACAUGGAUCCGCGCUGCAUUAGCUAGUUGGUAAGGUAACGGCUUACCAAGGCAACGAUGCAUAGCCGACCUGAGAGGGUGAUCGGCCACACUGGAACUGAGACACGGUCCAGACUCCUACGGGAGGCAGCAGUGGGGAAUCUUCCACAAUGGGCGAAAGCCUGACGGAGCAACGCCGCGUGAGUGAUGAAGGUCUUCGGAUCGUAAAGCUCUUUUAGUAGGGAGGCGGUACCUACACAAAAAGCCACGGCUAACUACGUGCCAGCAGCCGCGGUAAUAC
rnacentral:rRNA from 1 species